AUCNGAUGAGUACACUUUAAAUCCUUUAACGAGUAUCCAUUGGAGGGCAAGUCUGGUGCCAGCAGCCGCGGUAAUUCCAGCUCCAAUAGCGUAUAUUAAAGUUGUUGCGGUUAAAAAGCUCGUAGUUGGACUUGUGUCCCACGCUGUCGGUUCACCGCCCGUCGGUGUUUAACUGACAUGUAUCGUGGGACGUCCUGCCGGUGGUGGCGAGUCGAAAGAUCGCGCCCCCGCGGUUCGCCGCGGGUAGGUGGCGGUCCGUAGGCGGACCCCGAUGAAAUCCUACCGCGGUGCUCUUAAACGAGUGUCGAGGUGGGCCGGCACGUUUACUUUGAACAAAUUAGAGUGCUUAAAGCAGGCCUGAUGCGCCUGAAUACUGUGUGCAUGGAAUAAUGGAAUAGGACCUCGGUUCUAUUUUGUUGGUUUUCGGAACCCGAGGUAAUGAUUAAUAGGGACAGUCGGGGGCAUUCGUAUUGCGACGUUAGAGGUGAAAUUCUUGGAUCGUCGCAAGACGGACCGAAGCGAAAGCAUUUGCCAAGUAUGUUUUCAUUAAUCAAGAACGAAAGUUAGAGGUUCGAAGGCGAUCAGAUACCGCCCUAGUUCUAACCAUAAACGAUGCCAGCUAGCGAUCCGCCGAAGUUCCUCCGAUGACUCGGCGGGCAGCUCCCGGGAAACCAAAGCUUUUGGGUUCCGGGGGAAGUAUGGUUGCAAAGCUGAAACUUAAAGGAAUUGACGGAAGGGCACCACCAGGAGUGGAGCCUGCGGCUUAAUUUGACUCAACACGGGAAACCUCACCAGGCCCGGACACUGGAAGGA
rnacentral:rRNA from 1 species